GACGAACGCUGGCGGCGUGCUUAACACAUGCAAGUCGAGCGGAAAGGCCCUUCGGGGUACUCGAGCGGCGAACGGGUGAGUAACACGUGAGUAACCUGCCCCAGACUUUGGGAUAACCCUCGGAAACGGGGGCUAAUGCCGGAUACGACACAGCUUCGCAUGGGGUCUGUGUGGAAAGUUUUUCGGUUUGGGAUGGGCUCGCGGCCUAUCAGCUUGUUGGUGGGGUGAUGGCCUACCAAGGCGACGACGGGUAGCCGGCCUGAGAGGGCGACCGGCCACACUGGGACUGAGACACGGCCCAGACUCCUACGGGAGGCAGCAGUGGGGAAUAUUGCACAAUGGGCGGAAGCCUGAUGCAGCGACGCCGCGUGAGGGAUGACGGCCUUCGGGUUGUAAACCUCUUUCAGCAGGGACGAAGCGUAAGUGACGGUACCUGCAGAAGAAGCGCCGGCCAACUACGUG
rnacentral:rRNA from 1 species